rnacentral:lncRNA from 1 species
UGUUACCUGACCCACCAAGGACUCUGUGUGAGGAAUCACAAAUCAUUCACUUGAGCUAGAGACUGCAGUACCCAAGGCAACAAAUUGGAGAAAUCAUCUAAGCAGGGAGAGUAUUCGGUUAGCUGGCAAUAGUCUUCUCCUUUAGAGUUCAUCUUGGAAGAUUCUGUGUUGGUGAGCUGGACUAAAGGAGGAGACUCUUUCCCUGAAUCCUGUGUUGGCUUGUUUGGUGAGUAGCUAACCUACCUUUCCUGGCUUCUGGAGAUAUUAGUUUCAUAGAGGUCUUCCUUUCCUGGAGGAGGCUGCAUUGGUGGAACCAGGUCCUCUAGCUACCAAGCCCUGCCAGGGCUGAGUCAGACACCAGAACAACACUUAGGGUGAUGGGCUAGACAUUUCUCUACCCUCUUCCUCAAUUUCUCCAUUUUGACUCUUUCCACCUCUUUGUAAAUAAAGCUACUAAAAGUCACUUUGGCA